AGCAUCUUACUUCCUUUUCUAUCUUCAGCUCCCAGCACAAACCUGAAAUAGAACCUUUACAUAAUAAAUAUUAAACGAGUGAAUAAUUACUUAACAAAUUAGAGAAUGGACGCAUGAAGAGAGGUAGUCAGGAGCCAGGUUUUGCAACCAGACUGGCCUGGCUCUGCCAAUGAACCAUUCUCCAUACGUGCCUCACACUAAGCUCACUUCAACAAGACCGAUGCAAAAGAUACGAAUGUUUAGGACGACUACAACACCGAAGACACCCCCCCGCGGAGGGAGGCAAAGCGGAAGGGGCGCAGCCGGAAGCGGAAGGGCGGCAAGGAGUUAGCGGCGUUUCAGUUGCCAUGGAGACGGGAAGAGCCCGAGGUCGGCAGUCUGCAGAGUCCGGGUCCUACGCAUUCCGGGGCGCUACGUGGACGCCGACCUCACACCUGGCCGGGAUCCGCAGCCCCAGCGAGUCCACCUGGCUGUCCUCCUUAACCUACUCCGAGACCUUUCACUACGGCUUUGGGGGCCGGGCCCGCCGCGUGGGGCCCCUCACGCUCCAGCCUCUCCCCGAGCCGCAGCUGCUGAGUCUGCGCCCCACCUCGCUGCUCACCCAAGACAUCUCGCACUUGCUCACCGGCGUCUUCCGCAACUUAUACACUAAUGAGGUGAUCGGUGAGGACCUGAGCGCGAGCUUGAUCAAGGCCCGCGGCAGCGAGGAUGCGCGCCACGAGGAGUUCGUGGACGAGCUGCAGCGGAUUCGGGAGCUCUAUAAGCAGCGACUGGAUGAAAUUGAAAUGUUGGAGAGACAUAUCAUUCAGGCCCGCGCACGAGCUCUUGCAGAGAAAGAACGGAUCAUGCAACUGGCCGAAGUGCAUGUCCUCGAUACCUUUGUCAAGAUGCCUCCAGCAAAGUCUAUGUUCAGAUGGUGUGUGGACAGUGAGUUGCUACAGAAACACCAUUUGAUCUGCCCAGACGAUUACUACGGUGAUGCGGUGCCAUUUUGCUCUGCCCCUAAAGGCAUCUCCAUCCCUGGCUAUUCAAAACUCACGUUCAAUUGUGAGAAGCAUUCUGUCCCAAAGAAGCACCUGACCAAGCAGCUUGAGGAUUCCUGCAAGAAGAGGCUCACUGAGUCUAAAGACGAGUUAGCCUACACUGUGGACAGCCUGACGGGGGACUCGUGUUCAAAGGUCAAGCGCAAGGCUGUCAAGAAGGCAGGUCCACCCAGGAAUAAAAAGUGGAUGAGCCACUUAGCCGUGCCCCAGAGAGAGCUGGAGCGACUUCUGCUUGCCAGAAUGGAGAGUCGGAACCACUUCCUAAAAAACCCUCGGUUUUUCCCUCCUAACACUCCCUAUGGGGGCAAGUCUCUUCUCUUUCCUCCCAAGAAGCCAGUACUGAUGGGAGAUUUCCAGGGUGGAGAUUUGGAGCAGAGUUGUGCUGAUACUCCAGUGUUUCUAGCUAAACCGUCAAUCGGAUUUUUCACAGAUUAUGAAAUUGGGCGAGUUUAUGAGAUGGUGAUCUCCCUGCAGAACACCACUGCAACCAGCCGCUACCUGCGAGUCCUCCCGCCUUCUACGCCAUACUUCGCUCUGGGAUUGGGGAUGUUCCCAGGAAAAGGCGGCAUGGUGGCUCCUGGAAUGACCUGCCAGUACACUGUCCAGUUUUUUCCCGACUGUCUUGGGGAUUUUGAUGAUUUUAUCUUAGUCGAGACCCAGUCAGCCCACACACUCCUGAUCCCCUUGCAGGCCAGGAGGCCACCCCCAGUGCUGACAUUGUCACCAGUGUUGGAUUGUGGUUACUGCCUCAUUGGGGGAAUGAAGAUAACCAGAUUCAUCUGCAAAAACGUGGGCUUCAGCGUCGGCAAGUUCUGCAUUAUGCCCAAAAAGAGCUGGCCGCCACCAAGUUUCAGGGCUGUUGCAACCAUUGGCUUCGUCGAGCAACCUCCCUUUGGAAUCCUGCCUUCGGUGUUUGAGCUGGCUCCGGGGCAGGCUGUAUGUAUGGAGGUCUUGUUCCUCCCAACGAGCCUAGAAAAGGCAGAGCAGACCUUCAUCAUUGUGUGUGACAACUGCCAGAUAAAGGAGCUGGUGACCGUAGGAAUCGGGCAGCUGGUUGCUUUGGAUCUGAUCUAUAUUUCUGGUGAAGAAAGUCAGCCGGAGCCUGGAGAGCUCACAGACUUAACAGCCCAGCACUUCAUACGCUUUGAGCCUGAGAACCUUCAGUCCACAGCUAGAAAGCAGCUGAUUAUUAGAAAUGCUACGCACGUGGAGCUGCCCUUCCACUGGCAGACCAUGAAGCCCAACCUGCAGCCCCUAAUGCCAGGAGAAACCUACAGCCUGGACAGCCUCAAGUACCACCCUGACAGGGAGACGGCCUUCUCCAUCCUGCCUGAGAGGGGCGUCCUCAGCCCCCACGCAGACCAUGAGUUCAUCCUGAGCUUUUCUCCUCAUGAGCCCAGGGAUUUUCACAGUGUGCUCCAGAUGGUGCUAGAGGAAAUCCCAGAGCCCAUGAACUUGGAACUGGGAAAACUGAAGGAUUCCUCCUACUCUGUGGAUGACGUGAUUGUCCUGGAAAUCGAGGUGAAAGGCUCAGUGGAACCUUUCCAGGUUCUCUUAGAACCGUAUGCCCUCAUCAUCCCUGGGGAGAACUACAUUGGCAUAAAUGUGAAGAAAAAUUUUAAGAUGUGGAACAACAGCAAGUCCCCCAUCAGAUACCUGUGGGGGAAGGGCAGUGACUGCCACAUCAUUGAAGUGGAGCCCUGCACAGGGACCAUAGAGCCCAACGAGGUGGAGGAUUUUGAGCUGAGCUUCACCGGGGGUGUCCCUGGCCCAACAUGCCAGGACCUGCUGUGUGAAAUCCAGAACUCUCCCUCGCCGGUGGUGUUACACAUUGAAGCGGCCUUUAAGGGGCCUGCGCUUGUCAUCAACGUCUCAGCCCUUCAGUUCGGUUUGCUGCGCCUGGGGCAGAAAGCCACCGACUCCAUCCAGAUCCAGAACGUCAGCCAGCUCCCUGCCACGUGGUGUAUGAGGGAGAGCCUGGUCUGCCUCCAGGAGAGGCAUGAGGGCGUGUCUCCCUUCAACAUUGAGCCCUCAAGCGGCCAGAUUCACCCUCUGGGGGAGUGCAGAGUGAACAUCACGUUGGAGGCCAAGCAGUGUCAGCGGCUGCAGACCGUCCUAGAGCUGGAGGUGGUAAACGGGGCCUGGAGCUACCUUCCUGUGUAUGCUGAGAUACAGGAGCCCCAUGUGUACCUGCGAAGCAGCCACGUGGAAGUCACGAACCUCUACCUGGGCGUGCCCACCAAGGCAACCGUUACACUCAUCAAUGGCACACUCCUGCCUACCCGGUUCCACUGGGGCAAGCUGCUAGGGCACCAAGCAAGCAUCUGCACAGUAAAGGUCUCGCCUAGAUGCGGCACGCUGGGUCCCAGCGAGGAGCGCCAGCUCAGCCUGGAAUUGACCGCUCAUACCCAGGAAGAGCUGAGCGAUCUGGCCCUCCCUUGUACCGUGUCAGGCAUGAAGGAGCCACUGGUUCUGGGCAUUUCUGGGAAAUCCCAGGGACUGCAAGUGACUAUUGCCAUCUCUAUGGAGGGCUCUGACAGCAGUGUUCCUAGCACGGAGCUGUGGCCCGCCCGCCUGGAGGAGCUCCGCCUUGACUUGGGCACCGUGCCUCUGAGGACCGGCGAGAGCGGCCGGCUCACCCUGACCAACCACUCGCCGAUACAGACGCCUUUCACCCUCCAGUUUGAGUACUUCGGGAGUCCCCAGAGCAGCUUGAACCAGAAACCCAGCCUCCCUGACAUGCCCCCUGCCCUGCUGAAGACAUCUCAGAUUCGAGAGCACUUGGCCAAGCGAGAGCAGCUGAAUUUCAUGGAAAGCAUGUUGUCUCAUGGAAAAGGAGCUGCCUUCUUUCCCCACAUUUCCCAGGGCAUGCUGGGGGCCCACCAGCAGUUAAGCAUCGACAUCACAGGCUACGCAAACAUGUGGGGCGAGUACUGGGACAACCUCAUCUGCACGGUGGGAGACCUGCCACCAGCAGUCAUCCCGGUGCAUAUGGCAGUGGUGGGCUGCCCCAUCAGCUCCCAGAGGACCACCUAUUAUACCACUGACCAGUUGCAGAAGGAACCUGUCAUCAGGUUUGGCACCCAGGUCUCUGGAGGAGACACAGUCACCCGGGUCCUUCGCUUGAAUAACUCCAGCCCCUGUGACAUCCGCCUGGACUGGGAGACCUACACUCCAGAAGACAGGGAGGACCGCUUGGUGGAGCUGCUGGUGUUUUAUGGGCCACCUUUCCCACUGCGGGACCAAGGUGGGAAUGACCUCUUGUGCCCGGAGACUCCUGCGAGCAGCAGCUCCUUCUGGUCCCCAAGCCCCUCCAACGAGUCGGACUCCAGCCACAAAGCUGCCCAGUCUGCCGAGGACAGCUCUGGUGUCAGCGACACGGCCUCGCAGAAGAUCAUCUCAGUCGUUCUGCGGGAGCAUGACGGGGUGCCCGCUGACCACCUGUACUGCAUCAGCCCCAAGCAGAUGGUGAUCCCUGCAGGGGGCAGCAGCACCAUCUCCAUCUCCUUCACACCUAUGGUCCUUGGCCCUGAUACCCUGCACAAGGUGGAGUGUGUUGGCUACGCCCUGGGCUUCAUGAGCUUGGACGAUGAGGUGGAAAGAGAGCUUCCAGGGAGGAGGCGUCGCCUGCAGGACUUUGCCGCGGGACCCCUGAGGCUAGACCUGUGUAGCUCUGUGAGGCCCGCACAGCUAAGCGUGGAGCUGGACUAUGGCGGUGGCGUAGAGUUCCGGCACCAGGCCAGUGACCUCAUCCCAGACCAGCCCUGUACUGGGGUGCUGAGUGAGCGGGUGACCACCCACCAUCUGAAGCUGAGCAACACCACCGAGAUCCCACAGUACUUCCGGCUCCUGGUCUCCAGGCCCUUCUCUGUUUCUCAAGAAGGGGCCAGCCGCCGCCGCAGAGCUCCUGGCCGGGAACAGGGUUGUGAGGAAGAGCAGGCCAGGGCGGGCAAGCAGCUGGUGCUCCACCCUCGGGAGAACAUGCUGGUGAACGUGUCCUUCUCGCUGUCCCUGGAGCUGCUCUCCUAUCAGAAGCUCCCGGCUGACCAGAUGCUGCCCGGAGUGGACAUUCAGCAGCAUGCCAGUGGGGAGAAAGAGAUGGUGUUUACUCAGAACCUGCUCCUGGAGUUCCCCAACCAGACCACUCAGGUGGUGCCCCUGAGGGCCACGGUGGCCGUUCCCGAGCUGCAGCUCUCCACCAGCUGCAUGGACUUCGGGACCUGCUUUGUGGAUGAGGAGCGGGUCCGGGAGGUCAACCUCAUGAACCUGAGCGGCUGUCGGAGCUACUGGGCUGUGCUGAUGGGUAGGCUGUGCCUGCCCACCACUUCCCCCACCGCGAUGGGCACCACCUGGGCUUCCUGCAUAGAUGGCCGGUCCCCAAAGCCCAGGCCAGCAGGAGCCAGAUAAGGACCCUGUGGCCUUCAAGGUAUCUCCGAACAGUGGGCUGCUGGAGGCACGACUGGUCAAUGCACCCCCAAAUACCAUCACCCUCCAAGUUUUCUUCACUGCCAGGAGCAGUGAGCUGUACGAGUGUACACUGGUGGUGGAAGGCAUGCUCGGUGAGAAGGCCUGCACCCUACGGCUCCGGGGCCAAGGCUCUUAUGACGAGAAAUAUGUGUCACCCCACCAGCUCUGAGGCUCUCUCCCCUCAGC